rnacentral:rRNA from 1 species
CGCCUCUUGAUACAUUUAUAAGAGGUCAAGCCUGCCCGGUGACAAAGUUUAACGGCCGCGGUAUCCUGACCGUGCAAAGGUAGCGCAAUCACUUGUCUCCUAAAUAGGGACUAGUAUGAAUGGCAUCACGAAGACUAUACUGUCUCCCUCUCACCACCAGUGAAACUGAUCUUCCCAUGAAAAAGUGGGAAUACCCUUAUAAGACGAGAAGACCCCAUGGAGCUUUAAACUAGUAUUAUCUAUUUAACCUCAAACCCCAAUAGCGCAACUAAUUAUAAUUACUAGUUUUCGGUUGGGGCAACCACGGAGUAAAGUAAAACCUCCGCGAUGUAUAGACCUUAUAUCUUUAUUUAAGAACUACACCUCUAAAAAUCAAUAUAUUGACAUAAAUUGACCUAUUAAGUUCAACGAACCAAGUUACCCUGGGGAUAACAGCGCAAUCCAUUUCAA